AUUGAACGCUGGCGGCAUGCCUUACACAUGCAAGUCGAACGGCAGCACGGACUUCGGUCUGGUGGCGAGUGGCGAACGGGUGAGUAAUGUAUCGGAACGUACCUUUCAGUGGGGGAUAACGUAGCGAAAGUUACGCUAAUACCGCAUAUUCUGUGAGCAGGAAAGCAGGGGAUCGCAAGACCUUGCGCUGAUUGAGCGGCCGAUAUCAGAUUAGCUAGUUGGUGGGGUAAAGGCCUACCAAGGCUACGAUCUGUAGCGGGUCUGAGAGGAUGAUCCGCCACACUGGAACUGAGACACGGUCCAGACUCCUACGGGAGGCAGCAGUGGGGAAUUUUGGACAAUGGGGGCAACCCUGAUCCAGCCAUGCCGCGUGAGUGAAGAAGGCCUUCGGUUGUAAAGCUCUUUCGGCCGGGAAGAAAUACGCAUAGGCUAAUAACCCUGUGUGGAUGACGGUACCGGAAGUAAGAAGACACCGGCUAACUACGUGCCAGCAGCCGG
rnacentral:rRNA from 1 species